rnacentral:lncRNA from 1 species
GGGAGAGGCACCAAAAUGGGGUGAAAACACCCCCAAAAAGUGAAAAAAAGCUACCAAAAAAGGGAAAACACCCCAAAAAAGGAGCUAAGUAAUGGUAGAAAACAUGUCAAAGCAAGUGAAAACACCCCAAAAUGGAGAAAAGACCCCAAAUUAGUACCAAAAAUCAGGCAAAAACACCCCAAAAAGGGGACAAAUUGUAAAAUAAAUAUCAAAGAAUGAGGGGAAACAGCCCAAAACGGACAAAAAUCUGCUCAAAAUGGGAUCAAGUAACAAACAGGGAACACACAAAAAUGGGCAAAACCACCCCAAAAUGGGGUUGAAUUAUGGGGCGAGAAAAUGCCAAAAAGGGGAAAAACACCUUCCUAAAGGGCCAAGUAAGAGCAGAAAACACCCCAAAUUGAAUGAAAACACCCCAAAAUGGAGAAACGACCUCAAAUUAGCACCAAAAAAAAGACAACCCCCCCCAAAAUGGAGAAAUGUCCCCAAAAAAGUUUUAAGGAAGGGGAGGAAAACACCCAAAAUAGAUAGAAACCUGCCCAAAAUGAGUUCAAGUAAUAGGGAACGCCCUAAAACAGGCAAAGACACCCCAAAAUGGGCUCAAAUUAUAGAAUAUGAACCCAAAAAAGAAAAAAAAAAGCCCCAGAAUAAGGGGAAAAAAUCAAAAGUGGGAAAAAAUUGAAACUGGGGGAAAAAAAUCCAAAUUGGGGGGGAAAAAACUCAAAAUUGGAGGGAAAAACCCGAAAUUGGAGGGAAAUACCCAAAACUAGGGGGGAAAAAAACAAAAUUUGGGGGAAAAAAUACCGAAUUAGGGGGACGCGGGAAAGCACCGAAAGGAAACACCCAAGCCCGGCCGCGGCGCCCCCAAAAUUGCCCCGUUUUUCCCCAAACUGGCUUUUUUCCGCCCGGAACGCAGGCGUCUCGCUGGCUGUGGAGCUGGCGCAGCUGCAGGGAGCCGUCGCAGCCGCCGGUGCUCGCUACCGGGCCCUGCUGCGCCGCAAGCCACACGGAAACACGGAAACAUCUGGAAAAACGGAAACAUCCGGAGAAACGGAAACGUCCAGAGAGGCAGAAACACCCAGAAACGCAGAAACUUCCGGAGAGGCGGAAACUUCUGGCAACACGGAGCCUUCUGGGGAGGCGGAAACGCCUGGCAACACGGAAACGUCUAAGGAUGCGGAAACGCCUGGCAAGACGGAAACGUCUAAGGAUACGGAAACGUCCGGAAAAACAGAAACGUCUGGAAAAAUGGAGGCUUCCAGGGAGGAGGAAACACCCGGAAACGCAGAAAGUUCCGGGGCGGCGGAAACGUCCGGCAACACGGAACUUUCUGGGGAAGUGGAAACAUCUAAGGAUGCGGAAACAUCCGGAAACAGGGAAACUUCCAGAGAUGCAGAAACUUCUGGAGAGGUGGAAACUUCCAGAAACACGGAAACUUCCAGAGACGUGGAAACUUCCGGGGACACGGAAACAUCCGGGGACACCACGAGGGACGCGGAAAGGCCUGCGGCCACGGAGUUGGCGUGACGCCGAGCACGCGAACGGCGUGACGCCGCACACGGCAUCGUUGUGA